rnacentral:rRNA from 1 species
GAUGAACGCUGGCGGCGUGCCUAAUACAUGCAAGUCGAACGAAUCUUCUUCGGAAGAUGAGUGGCGAACGGGUGAGUAACACAUAGGUAACCUGCCCCUGUGCGGGGGAUAACAGGAGGAAACUCCUGCUAAUACCGCAUAGCCAUGAGCACCGCAUGGAGCUCAUGCCAAAGAUCCGUUCGGGGAUAGCGCAGGGAUGGACCUAUGGCGCAUUAGCUGGUUGGCGGGGCAACGGCCCACCAAGGCAACGAUGCGUAGCCGGCCUGAGAGGGCGGACGGCCACAUUGGGACUGAGACACGGCCCAGACUCCUACGGGAGGCAGCAGUAGGGAAUUUUCGGCAAUGGGGGAAACCCUGACCGAGCAACGCCGCGUGAGCGAAGAAGGCCUUCGGGUCGUAAAGCUCUGUUGUAAAGGAAGAACGGCGCAUACAGGAAAUGGUAUGCGAGUGACGGUACUUUACCAGAAAGCCACGGCUAACUACGUGCCAGCAGCCGCAGUAA